rnacentral:rRNA from 1 species
UUCUGGUUGAUCCCGCCGGACCUGACUGCUAUCGGAUUGAUACUAAACCAUGCGAGUCGUUGUAGCAAUACAAGGCAUACGGCUCAGUAACGCGUAGUCAACCUAACCUAUGGACGGGAAUAACCUCGGGAAACUGAGAAUAAUGCCCGAUAGAACAUUAUGCCUGGAAUGGUUUAUGUUCCAAAUGAUUUAUCGCCAUAGGAUGGGACUGCGGCCUAUCAGUUUGUUGGUGAGGUAAUGGCCCACCAAGACUAUUACAGGUACGGGCUCUGAGAGGAGUAGCCCGGAGAUGGGUACUGAGACACGGACCCAGGCCCUAUGGGGCGCAGCAGGCGAGAAAACUUUGCAAUGUGCGAAAGCACGACAAGGUUAAUCCGAGUGAUUUCUGCUAAAGAGAUCUUUUGUUAGUCCUAGAAACACUAACGAAUAAGGGGUGGGCAAGUUCUGGUGUCAGCCGCCGCGGUAAAACCAGCACCUCAAGUGGUCAGGAUGAUUAUUGGGCCUAAAGCAUCCGUAGCCGGCUCUGUAAGUUUUCGGUUAAAUCUGUACGCUCAACGUACAGGCUGCCGGGAAUACUGCAGAACUAGGGAGUGGGAGAGGUAGACGGUACUCGGUAGGAAGUGGUAAAAUGCUUUGAUCUAUCGAUGACCACCUGUGGCGAAGGCGGUCUACCAGAACAUGUCCGACGGUGAGGGAUGAAAGCUGGGGGAGCAAACCGGAUUAGAUACCCGGGUAGUCCCAGCUGUAAACUGUGCAAACUCAGUGAUGCAUUGGCUUGUGGCCAAUGCAGUGCUGCAGGGAAGCCGUUAAGUUUGCCGCCUGGGAAGUACGUACGCAAGUAUGAAACUUAAAGGAAUUGGCGGGGGAGCACCACAAGGGGUGAAGCCUGCGGUUCAAUUGGAUUCAACGCCGGA